UUUAUAUGCUAAAACGAAAUGCCCCAUGCUAGACAAGCAGAAUGGUAUUUCACUGACUCAAGAGUCACCUCUAACUGCUCACUAGUUGGGUCAUUUCUCAGAACUGAUUUAGAGCCUGUGUAUCUCAACCUGCUCAAAGUGGAACAAGCAAAUGAAACCCAAACCAAGUGGCCGGGAUCUCUGGCCGAGGCAGCAGCUAAAGGUGAAAAGAAGCUGCUCUGGGGAGAUGAGGGGGUGUUUGUGUGUGGGUGGUGGCAGUAAAAUAUUGAUUCAGCUCAGCUGUAACCAGAAUAGUUCCUCUGACCGUACACAUAGUGCUUAUCUCCUACUUCAUCAUAUUGCCUGUACGUUGCUUCUUUAAUUGAAGUAAUAUAUCUUUGGGGCUGCUUUGCUUGUGUUGAUACACAGUGGAAGACUUAAGAGAAGGAGAAGAGAGUCAGCCCCUACAUUUGUAUUCACCUUCCUGAUACAGGGCUGGAAAAAUAUGGAGGCACGUCUCAGGCAAACAUCAAAACAGCUAUUAUACAAAUCUGGGAGAACAUCAAAGUGAAAGCUCUCGUGUGCCCUGAUUGAUUUCCAUUGCAAAUACAAAGCUUACUCAUUUAUUUUCCAGUUUGUGCUUAUGAUUAUUUCAAUUUAACAUGUUUGUCCGGAGGCAGCCGUCAUGUUGAUGCCAUGGUGCUGUGUCACACAGGCUGUGGCCUAAGACACCCCAGCUGGGGAUCUCAGUACCAAGGAAAUUUAUUCAUGCCUCAUACAAAAUGUAUUGUGCAGGAAAGCUUGCAGUGAUAUUUUGCAAAACAGCAAAAUCUGUUACUCUGGAAUGUUACAGAUAUUGUAAGAAUCCCAUAUGGGCUUAUCUAGUCUACUUUUUUUUUUUUCUGAAGAUGGCCAGAAUAUACCUUAGUGGCAGAUAGAAAAGUCUCAAGAGGUACUUACUGGCAUCAGGAGCAGAUUGUCUGCAGAUCCACGUGUAUUCAGAGGAGUUGCUGGGUUAGUGAGACCACCACUGUCAGCCAAAGCUGUCAGCUAACUGAAAUUUUGUUAUAAUAUCAGUUACAGGUCUGCUGCAGAGCAGCAAUUCCACAGAGUUUUGAAGAGGAGGUGUCAGCUGUAAUUGUGAAGAGCCAUGCAAAUUCACCCUGGAGUUGCUCAGGAAAGGAAAAACAAACCCAAACAACAAACCCUGAAAUCUCUUAGCUUUUUAACCAGUUAACUUAGGUUCAGUUGUGGCUGUUGCAAGCACCUCACAGGUUCUGGGAAAUUAGGACUGGAAGGGACCUUAAAAAAAAGCAUAGUUGGGAAAUUUUCUUAAUGGUUAUCCAGAACUUACCUUGCUGUAAGUUCAGUAAACUUUUGUCCUGUUUGUCAGGGAACAGUGACAGUGGGGCUGCUCCCAAGGGAGGAUGAGCCAGGGGCCAAGGGUAACUCCAGGACAGGCAAUGCCCUCAGCAGCUGGGGUGAGCAGAGCCAGGGGCUUGUGACAGCAUCUGCCAGGAGCCCAGACACAGGAGAGGGCAUGAACCAGGGGCAGGGCCAUCCAGGGACAGCAGGAAUGAGACAGGACUGGAGACAAGGUGAUGACAUGAACCUGGGAUCCACCUGGGAAGGCCUGUUGGAGAACAGGGACAGAGGAGGUCUGGGGGGAAUGGAGAGUGCUUCCAGGGAAGUGGUCAGAAAAAUUAAAACCUGUUAGUGCUGACAGUGUCCUGACAGAAUUCACAGUGGAUGUGGUGAUCAGUUACGCUCUUCUGUGGAAGAUGAAUCUGCUGGUUUUAUCCAUCCCUCUGAAGGUGCACUCCUAUAUUCAUUGAAAGGAAAAAAGAUUGUGGAAAUGCACAUUAAAAAGGUGUAUAAAAUUAUCCUCUUGGUUCUUGUGUUUCAUGGUGUUGUGUCUCAAUACAAGCCUGUGGAAGGAUUUUGUUUCUAUGUGGUGGUUGUUGUUCUGGGCAGGAUUUUGUCUCUUGGCAGGAAUGAGAAAUAAACUUUUUUUCCCUUGAACCCCUUGACUCA
ensembl:lncRNA